rnacentral:rRNA from 1 species
CGGUGUUCAACUGGCGUGUCCGCGGGACGUCCUGCCGGUGGGCUUAGCCCGCAAGGGCGGCCCAACUUCAAAUCCCAUCGCGGUGCUCUUCACUGAGUGUCGAGGUGGGCCGGCACGUUUACUUUGAACAAAUUAGAUUGCUUAAAGCAGGCUAAAACUUCGCCUGAAUACUGUGUGCAUGGAAUAAUGGAAUAGGACCUCGGUUCUAUUUUGUUGGUUUUCGGAACCCCGAGGUAAUGAUUAAUAGGAACGGAUGGGGGCAUUCGUAUUGCGACGUUAGAGGUGAAAUUCUUGGAUCGUCGCAAGACGGACAGAAGCGAAAGCAUUUGCCAAAAACGCUUUCAUUGAUCAAGAACGAAAGUUAGAGGUUCGAAGGCGAUCAGAUACCGCCCUAGUUCUAACCAUAAACGAUGCCAGCUAGCGAUCCGUCGACGUUCCUCCGAUGACUCGACGGGCAGCUUCCGGGAAACCAAAGCUUUUGGGUUCCGGGGGAAGUAUGGUUGCAAAGCUGAAACUUAAAGGAAUUGACGGAAGGGCACCACCAGGAGUGGAGCCUGCGGCUUAAUUUGACUCAACACGGGAAACCUCACCAGGCCCGGACACCGGAAGGAUUGACAGAUUGAGAGCUCUUUCUUGAUUCGGUGGGUGGUGGUGCAUGGCCGUUCUUAGUUGGUGGAGCGAUUUGUCUGGUUAAUUCCGAUAACGAACGAGACUCUGGCCUGCUAACUAGGCGUAUUUUCGACAUCUCAAAGGUCCGUCGUCCCGGCCCUCGGGUCGUGGGCGUGCGCGAUUUUUACUGUCGGCGUACUAUCAAUUCUUCUUAGAGGGACAGGUGGCUUCUAGCCGCACGAGAUUGAGCAAUAACAGGUCUGUGAUG